rnacentral:lncRNA from 1 species
CGGACAUGAGAAUGAAUAGCUUAAGUGGUUUAACUGCUUGGGACAUAAGCAGAGACGUGGAUGAGACAAAGAGGUUUAGGUUUUUAAAAGAAAAAGGAAGAUCAGAGGAGUUAGGAGAUUGGAUAUGGCCAGGACUCUGGAGGCUAGAAAAACUAUAAAAAGGGGUUAAGGGCAACCCAAGAAUAAAAAGAGAUCGAAGAGAGAAAAAGUUAGGAGAAAAAUAAGAGAGAAAGAGAGAGGA